GAGGGUAUAGCUCAGUGGUAGAGUACGUGCCUAUCAUCCAUGAGGUCCUGGGUUCAAUCCCCAGUUCCUCCA